rnacentral:rRNA from 1 species
GAUGAACGCUGGCGGCGUGCCUGAUACAUGCAAGUCGAGCGAACAGACGAGGAGCUUGCUCCUCUGACGUUAGCGGCGGACGGGUGAGUAACACGUGGAUAACCUACCUAUAAGACUGGGAUAACUUCGGGAAACCGGAGCUAAUACCGGAUAAUAUAUUGAACCGCAUGGUUCAAUAGUGAAAGACGGUUUUGCUGUCACUUAUAGAUGGAUCCGCGCCGCAUUAGCUAGUUGGUAAGGUAACGGCUUACCAAGGCAACGAUGCGUAGCCGACCUGAGAGGGUGAUCGGCCACACUGGAACUGAGACACGGUCCAGACUCCUACGGGAGGCAGCAGUAGGGAAUCUUCCGCAAAGGGCGAAAGCCUGACGGAGCAACGCCGCGUGAGUGAUGAAGGUCUUCGGAUCGUAAAACUCUGUUAUUAGGGAAGAACAAAUGUGUAAGUAACUAUGCACGUCUUGACGGUACCUAAUCAGAAAGCCACGGCUAACUACGUG